GCUGCGGAGGCUCGCGAAAUUUUGACAGACUGCGAUAAAAAAUACAAAAAAACAAGAUUUGUGUAUUUUUUCAUCGCAAGCUGUCAAAAUAUCUUAAUAUAGAAUUUGCUUUUGUUAUGCAAUAUUUGAAAUUCGAAUGUAUGUAAUGAUUAUUUACAGUGCGCCUAAACAAACCCGGAUUCAGUCGCAACGGCAGAGGAUUGUACAGCUGGAGAAAUGAUAAAAAUCGUUCCGACUUACUAUUUUUCAAAGCCGCUAGAGCAGUCUUUUCCGUUAGUGGUAGAAGCAGGAAACAUCGAUCUACCUCAGCAGUUUGCCUCAAUAACAACAACGUAUGACCUAGUCUACAUCCGCAACUAGUGCAAACGAUCCAAGCCAAUCAGGGCAGAUGUAGAAGACCAUUGGCCAACUUUGGCAGUUGCAGCAGCAAACAAAUCAGAACUAUGAUCACCCAUCCGCAGAAAACGAUACAGCUACAGCAUCGGUCAAACACAGUAGCAUACGAUACUGUACCGUACCGCGUGCAGGAGGUCCUUUAAUUCAGUUGGUGCAGCAAGAUCGAGCAGCAACCAUAGCGGCUACAGAUCCAGUGGACACAUCACCGAACACCAUCAACCAUCCAGCAGAAGAACGCGGUGAUAAUGGGUCAGCAGUAAACACAACGGCAAAAUGCUUGGAAAGGACUUUCUCUCGAACAAACAACGGAAGCCUACACGCACGACAUGUUCAAUCGGGCCAACCGUGUGACUCGU